CCCCGGAUGGCGGAAUUGGUAGACGCAGCGGAUUCAAAAUCCGCCGGGUAAAACCUUGAGGGUUCGAGUCCCUCUCCGGGGACCA
rnacentral:tRNA from 1 species